rnacentral:misc_RNA from 1 species
GAUGAAGAACGUAGUAAAAUGCGAUAAGUAAUGUGAAUUGCAGAAUUCAGUGAAUCAUCAAAUCUUUGAACGCACAUUGCGCCCGCCAGUAUUCUGGCGGGCAUGCCUGUUCGAGCGUCAUUUCAACCCUCAAGCUCAGCUUGGUGUUGGGACUCGCGGUAACCCGCGUUCCCCAAAUCGAUUGGCGGUCACGUCGAGCUUCCAUAGCGUAGUAAUCAUACACCUCGUUACUGGUAAUCGUCGCGGCCACGCCGUAAAACCCCAACUUCUGAAUGUUGACCUCGGAUCAGGUAGGAAUACCCGCUGAACUUAAGCAUAUCAAUAAGCGGAGGA